ensembl:snoRNA
GGCCUCUCUCCCAGGGGCCGUGAGGGGUCCCUUUACUUCUCAGCCAGGGCUGAAGGCCAAGAUCAGCCAUCCACGAUCAUCGUCAGGACUGCCAGCAGCUGGGCAGCUUCAUUUUCCCAGUUCAGGCAUUG